UACGUAGGGUGCGAGCGUUGUCCGGAAUUAUUGGGCGUAAAGGGCUCGUAGGUGGCCAACUAAGUCAGACGUGAAAUCCCUCAGCUUAACUGGGGAACUGCGUCUGAUACUGGAUGGCUUGAGUUUGGGAGAGGGAUGCGGAAUUCCAGGUGUAGCGGUGAAAUGCGUAGAUAUCUGGAGGAACACCGGUGGCGAAGGCGGCAUCCUGGACCAACACUGACACUGAGGAGCGAAAGCCAGGGGAGCAAACGGG
rnacentral:rRNA from 1 species